rnacentral:rRNA from 1 species
UACGGAAGGUCCGGGCGUUAUCCGGAUUUAUUGGGUUUAAAGGGAGCGUAGGCCGGAGAUUAAGCGUGUUGUGAAAUGUAGAUGCUCAACAUCUGAACUGCAGCGCGAACUGUUUUCCUUGAGUACGCACAAAGUGGGCGGAAUUCGUGGUGUAGCGGUGAAAUGCUUAGAUAUCACGAAGAACUCCGAUUGCGAAGGCAGCUCACUGGAGCGCAACUGACGCUGAAGCUCGAAAGUGCGGGUAUCGAACAGG